rnacentral:rRNA from 1 species
AGUCGAGCGAUCUUCUUCGGAAGGGAGCGGCGGACGGGUGAGUAACGCGUGGGUAACCUGCCCUGUACACACGGAUAACAUACCGAAAGGUAUGCUAAUACGGGAUAACAUAAGAAAGUCGCAUGGCUUUCUUAUCAAAGCUUUUGCGGUACAGGAUGGACCCGCGUCUGAUUAGCUAGUUGGUAAGGUAACGGCUUACCAAGGCGACGAUCAGUAGCCGACCUGAGAGGGUGAUCGGCCACAUUGGAACUGAGACACGGUCCAAACUCCUACGGGAGGCAGCAGUGGGGAAUAUUGCACAAUGGGCGAAAGCCUGAUGCAGCAACGCCGCGUGAGCGAUGAAGGCCUUCGGGUCGUAAAGCUCUGUCCUCAAGGAAGAUAAUGACGGUACUUGAGGAGGAAGCCCCGGCUAACUACGUGCCAGCAGCCGCGGUAAUACGUAGGGGGCUAGCGUUAUCCGGAAUUACUGGGCGUAAAGGGUGCGUAGGCGGUCUUUCAAGUCAGAAGUGAAAGGCUACGGCUCAACCGUAGUAAGCUUUUGAAACUGUAAGACUUGAGUGCAGGAGAGGAGAGUGGAAUUCCUAGUGUAGCGGUGAAAUGCGUAGAUAUUAGGAGGAACACCAGUUGCGAAGGCGGCUCUCUGGACUGUAACUGACGCUGAGGCACGAAAGCGUGGGGAGCAAACAGG